CUGCUUGAAGUAGUUACAGGGUAACCAGGGUGUAGUUUGAAACAACACUGAUAUCAAUUGCUGAUUAAAAGCAACAAAAACAACAAGAACCCAACCAUAAUGCAAGGAACAUUAUUUUAUUAAGGACUCAACUCAAUGUUUGUAAAGGGAAAUUCUUUAGCUAUGUUGUACUGAAGGACAGACAAGAUGACCUCAGUCUUUAUGGAUGAUUUUUACUACUUUCUACAGAAAAACAACAACUUGUUUGUUCUAGUUUAAGGUAAAGGCCAUUACAGCAUUUCCAGCAACAGUCAUUUGAGUUGACCUAGACAGAACAAGCAUUGGAUGCAGACAAAGCAGGAGAUGCGGAACAGCUCCUUAUGCUUUCAAAACGUGCAAGACUCUUGGAUGUGAAGUACAGCAAAAGAAACUUAACAAAAGAGAUGUGAUAUUCGAAGACAUGAAGUUCAUAACUAGCUCUGCCAGUGUGUGAGCAUAUCCAUGUCUCACUAUGCAAUAGAGCACAAGACUCUGUACAAAGAAUCCUACCAAGGAUUGUCCGGGAUACAUUCACACUGAAAGUUAAAAAUCCUUUUAUAUGGGGAAUUUUGGAGUAAAUGUUUCAACUCCCUUCAUUCUUUCACAUUUUAAGGAAAAGUUUUUAUGUGAAUCUGUGCUUAGGAAGGAGAGACAACAGGAGGACAGACAUCACCUCCAGAGGACAACACAUCUCAUGCCCUGCCAUAUGGUAGCCUAUAUUGCAGGACUGAGCUAAGAGAACUGUAACCUCUAGAGGAGCGCAGGAAAAAAAAAAAAAAAAAAAAAAAAAAAAAGAAAGAAAUCCAAAGACACUUGCACUUGUGAGAUACACCAAAGGCGCUAGGACAAACAUGAACAUCUUGUACUGGCUCUUAGCUACACGAAACAUUUUUGGUCGGUACUGUCAUGACACUCGCUUCCCCUCAGGAGAUAGGGUGUGGAGAAGGCCGGGCCGGGGGCUGAGGAGCGCAGGGCGCGCCCCGGGCCGAAGGAGGCGGAGGGAUGGCGGAUCCCGGCUGACAGCGGAACGGCGGCGCCACAAGAUGGCGUCCUGCCGCCUCGAGCCCCGCCACAGCCGCCGGGGGUGGAGGCAUGGCGGCUUGGGGUGGGCCUGCAGAGGGGGCGGCUGGGGUAUGAGCUCGCAAUACGUAGUGGGCAUUACAGGAGAGGCAAACUGAGGUGGAUCUGGGCAGAAGCACAACAGAGCUGCCUUGAGCAGCGAGAUGUCAGAGUAGAGAGAUGUCAGGCAGCUUCAGCUGCUGAUUCCACCAGGACCAUGAAGGUGAGGUGGCUGGGGCUCUCACAGAGUUUGGUGGGUGGUGAUAACUAAGCCUCAUAGUGUCUAUCUUAGCAGUAUUAAUAGCCUAGUUUUACAGAAGCUGGAACUUAUACUAUAUAACCUAUCUCUGUCCCAUUGUAGACAAGACUAUCUACCCUUUUGCUGCAUUAAGUCCUGCCUGAAGUGCACUGAAUAGCUACUAAGCAACAGGGAUGUUUCUGUCACACUGUAGUCUAAGGCAUAAAUUCCUGUUUUUGUCUUCAACCAGAUUUCAUCUGGGACUCUCCAUAACUCACUUCCCAACUCUGCAAAAUCCAAAUAAACCCUUACACAGGAUGGUGACCGCA
ensembl:lncRNA